UUUCAACACUAAAAUACUGUUUUCAUGUUAAACAGUUUAGUACUGUAGUUAGCAAUGCAUUGUGGGCUGCUUAAAUUGGAGCAACAAGACAGAGGCCCUCAACAGUAAGUUGAUGUUUUAAAUUACAGGACAAUACAGUAUUUUUUUGAAAAUGCGUGUUGACUGGGGAAUUUGGAGCAUGGUCAGAAGCUAAGCAAUGUCUUAUAAAUUGAGGCUAGCCUAUUGCUUUUGGUCAAUUUUCUUUAAAAAAAUACAGAAAUAAUUUGCCAUUAACUCCUGGAUGGAAUUUCGGAAACCAUUAUUUGGAUUGGAGAUUUUUCAGAAGAGGACGUACAAUUUAGAUGACGUGCUGCACAUUUUCAAGUGUUCUUCAUCAAAUUCAUUGGGUCUUGCAUCUACAAAUGAAACGGUAAUUCAAAUCUUAUUCAUAUUGCCAAGAAUGCUUGAUAUCAACUGAUAGAAGCUUGUCUUGCUAGGGAUUUAAACAUGUCAUUUAACAGUGAGGCUUAGAUUUGAAUAGCCAAAACAAUAUUACUUUUGAGUGGUAUUUUGUUUAAUUUUGGUAACGUUAGCCAUAGGCUACUUCUGAAUUUGAGAAACAACACUUAUUAAAGAAUUUAUUUCAAUCAAACCAUAGGAUUAUAUGAACAUCGACUAUCCGAGAUGGUUUUGGUAUCUGCCACUGCAGCUGACGUUGAGACAACUCUCAGUCUUCCUGCAAAUACUCGCCUGAUACCUGGCGCUUCAUUGAUAUAAAUCCAGAGAGAGGGACAAAUGCCAAAAUCAUCAGACAAGAUUGUCUCUUAGAUAUAAGGUGUGAUCGUCCAGAAGUCGUCUUCUGCAGUCAAAUACACACGUGGCCAUGCUACUGAAGGAUCUCCUUGACUUUUUAAUGGAACUUCAUAUAGAUCUUGACAGCACUGGAAUAAUGCUGCAGAGAGGAACAGCGGCUACUAAAGUGAUGAUCGUCUCUUCUGGAUCCACAAGAACUAAGAUGUAAAAACACAAGCCUACCUCACAGGACAAUUUUAAGAGGUAACCUGCAAGUCUAGCUUGCAGUGGCACAGGUGCCUACCCUACGGUUUCAUCCUAAAUGUUUUUUUAUGCAUAUUAUUGAUACAUCCUGACAAAAUGUUCUACUGUACUAUAAUAGUUUCAAAAUGGCCUUAGGUAUGUUUUCAAACUUAUGUCUUAAAUAAAAAAGUAAACUAUAGGUUAUGCCCUUCACAUUUGGUUAGGAUUAGGGGCAGUCUCUGACGAGCAAUUUAAGAACGUACGUUUAUUGCCAUAGUCUAAAGCAAAACACUACUGUUUCUGUUUACUACUUGAAAGCUCUUUUCAGCAUUGUCCAACAGGAUUUAUUUUCUUUCCUUUUUUUGUAUUCAUGUUGACAUAGACAUUGCUCUUUGAAAUAAAGGUGUUUGAUUUGGAAGUUUUUGUUGCUUAUUUUGCAUAAUAUUCACAAUAAUGCAUAUCUUAAGCAGUUGUCUUUAGCCCUGGAAAAUCAUUGGGCAAGUUCAUGGGAGACUGAUAUUUUAAAUAUCAAUGAAAAAUUUUUAGAGACUAAAUUUAUGUUAUUUA